rnacentral:rRNA from 1 species
GACGAACGCUGGCGGCGUGCCUAAUACAUGCAAGUCGAGCGCAGGAAGCUGACGGAACUCUUCGGAGAGAAGGCAGUGGAAUGAGCGGCGGACGGGUGAGUAACACGUAAGGAACCUGCCUCAAGGAUUGGGAUAACUCCGAGAAAUCGGAGCUAAUACCGGAUAGUUCAACGGACCGCAUGGUCCGCUGAUGAAAGGCGCUGCGGCGUCACCUUGAGAUGGCCUUGCGGUGCAUUAGCUAGUUGGUGGGGUAACGGCCCACCAAGGCGACGAUGCAUAGCCGACCUGAGAGGGUGAUCGGCCACACUGGGACUGAGACACGGCCCAGACUCCUACGGGAGGCAGCAGUAGGGAAUCUUCCACAAUGGACGAAAGUCUGAUGGAGCAACGCCGCGUGAGUGAUGAAGGUUUUCGAAUCGUAAAACUCUGUUGUAAGGGAAGAACACGUACGAGAGGGAAUGCUCGUACCUUGACGGUACCUUACGAGAAAGCCACGGCUAACUACGUGCCAGCCGCCGCCGUAA